rnacentral:rRNA from 1 species
UACGUAGGGGGCAAGCGUUGUCCGGAUUUAUUGGGCGUAAAGAGCGCGCAGGCGGUCGUACAAGUCGCGUGUGAAAGCCCCCGGCUCAACUGGGGAGGGUCACGCGAUACUGUUCGACUCGAAGGCAGGAGAGGGAAGUGGAAUUCCCGGUGUAGUGGUGAAAUGCGUAGAUAUCGGGAGGAACACCAGUGGCGAAGGCGACUUCCUGGCCUGUUCUUGACGCUGAGGCGCGAAAGCUAGGGUAGCAAACGGGG